rnacentral:lncRNA from 1 species
GAAAAUACAAAAGCACUACUGUUUAACAGGAAAGUUACUAUCCAGAAAUUAACCCACAAAGGUGGGAAGAGUAUUUACCCGCUAAUCUCUUUAUUCCCUCGCCUGACAAAAUAUCUGCAUUCCUGGGCGGCCUCAAGAAAUGAACUACAGACAUCUAUUCCCUUUGUGAUACCUCCUUGGAAUCAAAGUGUGGAGUGUAACAAUGUGCCUCCACACACUCACACUAGUUGAUGCUUCAUCUUGGUGAAAUCAAGUUUUUGGAAUUACCUUUCCUAAGAUCAUUCUAUUCACAGAGAAGGAGCUUAAUGUAAGUGAAAUUUUGUAAAAACCAAAGGAAACUAUGGUGGAUGUAUUCUAGACAGAAGAAGGAUUAAACCAAGAUAAAAACAAUGUGAAUGAGGAAAGUGGGAGUAACAGGGAUUCCAAGAGAAAGAAGGAGAACUGGUAAUUGAUGUGGGGCCAAACAGCACAGUACAGCAGAAAGGAUCUAAAUUUGGGAAUUAUACUGAGAUUUUCCAUUUGUCAAAAAUGAGGAGUACUAAUCAGUAGUGCUAUGGAAACAAGACACUAACAGUUAUAGUCCGGAAGAAGAGAUGAUAACAUCUGUCCCUAAAAAGAGGCAGCACAGCAUGGAGAGAGAUACUUCUGCUUGGGUGAAGGAGAAAACAUACCAGGCUGCACCUAGGCUCCAGGCCAGUCUUCAUGGCCUCAGACUCCAGAGGAUCCAAAGUCCAGUACUACUCUGGCAUAUCUAGACUACAGGCCCGCCCCAGUAGACCCUGGUGUCAGGCCAACUACCAGAGAGAGACUGAAGCUCCAAUGCCACCCCCACAG